AAAACAACUCCCACCAUUUAACAACAAUAAUCAUUCAUAUUCUUAUUCAUAUUCAUCUCUCUCACAAACAAAACACAAACCCACACAAAAACCAAAACAUUGUUUGUUACAUUGUUUUGUUCUUCUCUGAGAAAACCAAAAACUUUAAAAGAUAGCCAUGGAUUGCGGCAUCUAUGGCGUCGUAAAAAAACUCCGCACGUUGUUAUUGUUUAUCUACAUCUUCAUGUUCGUAAUUUUCACUUCUCUGAACUUCACACACUCUCUUUCAUCAUCUUCAACAGUUCAAAUCAACUCAAAUUCAAUCUUAGUAGCUUUACUUGAUUCACAUUACACAGAAUUAGCAGAACUCGUUGAAAAAGCUAUGUUGUUACAAACAUUAGAAGACACUGUUGGUAAAAACAACAUCACAAUUUUCGCACCAAAAAACGAAGCUCUAGAAAGAGAUCUUGAUCCUAAUUUCAAGAUUUUUCUUCUUGAACCGAGGAAUCUCAAAUCUCUUCAGACACUGUUAAUGUCACAUAUAAUUCCAACCCGAAUCAAUGGAUCCGGGUCGGUAUUCGGGUUGACCCGACAUAGAACACUUUCUAAGGUUCAUCAAUUGACUAUUCAAUCGAAUGGAACUUCUCAGCAAUGGAGUGUUAACGGUGCUAAGAUUGUUCAUCUUAACGCCGUUACUAGACCUGACGGUGUUAUUCACGGAAUUGAACGGCUUCUUAUUCCACGGUCUGUUCAAGAUGACUUUAACCGUCGCCGGAGUCUUGUGUCAAUUGCUGCUAUUAAGCCGGAAGGAGCACCGGAGGUUGAUCCGAGGACUCAUCGGUUGAAGAAACCAGCUCCGCCGCAGAAUCCUGGCUCACCGCCGGUACUUCCAAUUUACGAUGCACUGGCUCCGGGACCUUCGCUAGCACCGGCACCAGCACCAGGACCUGGUGGACCCCGCCACCAUUUCAACGGCGAGGCACAGGUGAAAGAUUUCAUCCAAACACUGAUUCAUUACGGUGGUUACAACGAGAUGGCGGACAUUCUUGUUAACCUAACGUCGUUAGCAACGGAAAUGAGUAGGUUAGUUUCAGAGGGUUAUGUUUUAACUGUUCUAGCUCCAAAUGAUGAAGCUAUGGCUAAGUUAACGACGGAUCAGUUAAGUGAACCGGGUUCACCUGAACAAAUUAUGUAUUAUCAUUUGAUUCCUGAGUAUCAAACCGAAGAGAGUAUGUAUAAUGCUGUUAGAAGAUUCGGGAAAGUUCGAUAUGAUACACUUCGAUUGCCUCAUAAGGUUGAUGCUCAAGAAGCUGAUGGGUCGGUUAAAUUCGGGCAUGGUGAUGGGUCGGCUUAUUUGUUCGACCCGGAUAUUUAUACCGAUGGAAGGAUUUCUGUACAAGGAAUUGAUGGAGUUUUGUUUCCACAUCAAGAAGAGGAGACUGUUGUUGAUAAGGAUGCGACCCGAACCCGAACGGGUCAACCCGCUAAAGUUGUGGCUAAGCAAAGAAGAGGUGCGUUGCUUUGUUUUGUUCUUAACUUUUGUUUUUGCUUUAUUUUGUUUGGGUGUGUUUUAAGUCAAGAUGAAAAAGUGAAAAAAUACAAAAAAGGUGAUUAUGAUGUGUUUCAUUUGAUUGGAUUAAAAUUUCCUUUCUUGUAGCGUUGUGGUUGGAAAUUGGAUGUAGAAAUAAUUGGGAUGAAAAAGAGAUGAAAGUGUUAAAUAUUUCAUUGUUUUUUAGGGAAGAAAAUAAUUUACAAAGAGAAGUGUCUAUACAACUUUAUGUUUGGUUUUGCAAUGAUUAAAUUUAUUUUGUUAAUUUGAUUCUGGUUAUAAGUUAGUUAGUUGAAUAAAUGGUUUAUGUUUCGACACGUUCACGUGAAAAUGUGUAGAACAAUAUGUUAGCGGCUCAAAAUCAUGUUUGAAGGAAAAGAAACUCUAAAAAGAACUUCAGUCUUGGUUUCACAUUCUAGAGACAAAAGUAAUUCUGCUCAAGAACACCCUAAACAUGUCAAAAUCAAUUUUUUCCGAUUCAGAAUCACUUUCGAGACAAAAAUGAUUUUGUUUUUUUUAUGGAUUAGACAAAAUUCAUUUCAAACGUGCACUAAGUAAGAGUUUUAUUUUAGGCGAACUCUUAAAGUGGGCCUUUGGAAUGUGAUUUAAGUUAUGCAAUUGUAAUAUUAUGGAGAACUUGAGUGCUGUUGAGGUCCAAGUAUUUUAUUUAUCUUGUUUUCUUCUGAUUUGUGAAUGUUAGGUUAGAUUUUUAGGGAAUUGAUGUGGCAAAUAGAAUACUUAAGGUUUAAGAAACUAGUCUCAUCUAUCCUUAAAAAGUAAAGGCCUUAACUUUUCUCUAAAUAAAUUAAAUAUACAUGUAGCACUAAAAAAGAUUUAGGUGAUCAUUGUUGCAAGUUAACUGCUUAAGCUUUAAGCAUUUUGAACUAAAUGUCAAAUUAAGAUUUAGGUGUCACAACAUUUUAGUAAUUAAUCUUUUGCACUUCCUUUUGUAUCUUUGACAUCAUUUUUGACAUGCUUGACACAAAAGAUUGUUUUAAUCUAAUAUUUGAAUGGUUAGUAUUUUUCCUUGUGUAUCUGUCAUAAGUUCUCUUUAAGCUAAAGUUUCAAUGAAAUGACAGGAAAACUACUGGAAACAGCUUGCUGGAUGCUUGGAACCGUUGGACAGCAUUCUAGAUUCACCUCUUGUCAAUAAAGCCCUCAUCUGGAUGCUACCGAUAACACUCAAAACAAAAAAAAUGCACAGGAAAUUCCAAAGAUGUAAAAAGUCAAAGGAAUAUGAAGGCCAGAUUUACUUGAAUGGUUAAUAUGGGUUUGGUUUAGCCAACUUUUUUUUUUUCUUUUUUUUUUCCUUCUUGAUUUUCUUUCUCCUUGUGGAUUUGGAUCCUUGAUGAGAGCACAAAAGUUUCUAUAUAGUACAUAUAUUAAUAAUAUAUAUGUGAUUAGGUUCAAUUAGUAGUAUUGCUGCUAUUAUAAUUCAAUAGAAGGUUGUGGGGUGAAAAGGUUUUGUGUAAUAAUAAAGAAGGGCGAGAAUCCGUGCGCCCGAUUCAGUAAGUAAUUUUACUCAAGAAAUGGAAGAUGGAAUAAUAAAAUUAUUCUUUACUGUAA